AUUGAACGCUGGCGGCAUGCUUUACACAUGCAAGUCGAACGGUAACACGCCGCAAGGUGCUGACGAGUGGCGAACGGGUGAGUAAUGCAUCGGAACGUGCCCAGUCGUGGGGGAUAACUACUCGAAAGAGUAGCUAAUACCGCAUACGAUCUAUGGAUGAAAGCGGGGGACCGUAAGGCCUCGCGCGAUUGGAGCGGCCGAUGUCAGAUUAGGUAGUUGGUGGGGUAAAGGCUCACCAAGCCAACGAUCUGUAGCUGGUCUGAGAGGACGACCAGCCACACUGGGACUGAGACACGGCCCAGACUCCUACGGGAGGCAGCAGUGGGGAAUUUUGGACAAAGGGCGCAAGCCUGAUCCAGCAAUGCCGCGUGCAGGAAGAAGGCCUUCGGGUUGUAAACUGCUUUUGUACGGAACGAAACGGCUCUGGUUAAUACCCGGGGCUAAUGACGGUACCGUAAGAAUAAGCACCGGCUAACUACGUG
rnacentral:rRNA from 1 species